rnacentral:rRNA from 1 species
AGCAGCCGCGGUAAUUCCAGCUCCAAUAGCGUAUAUUAAAGUUGUUGCAGUUAAAAAGCUCGUAGUUGAAUUUCGGGAUCAAUAUGCCGGUCAUGCCUUGGUAUGCACUGGUAUCUUUGAUUUCUCCCUUCUGACGAACUUUGAUGUCAUUAAUUUGGUGUCAUAGGGAAUCAGGACUGUUACUUUGAAAAAUUAGAGUGUUUAAAGCAGGCUCACGCUUGAAUACAUUAGCAUGGAAUAAUGAAAUAGGACGUUUGAUUCUAUUUUGUUGGUUUCUAGGAUCGACGUAAUGAUUAAUAGGGAUAGUUGGGGGCAUUAGUAUUCAAUUGUCAGAGGUGAAAUUCUUGGAUUUAUUGAAGACUAACUACUGCGAAAGCAUUUGCCAAGGAUGUUUUCAUUAAUCAAGAACGAAAGUUAGGGGAUCGAAGACGAUCAGAUACCGUCGUAGUC